ensembl:ncRNA K10H10.14 ncRNA
UUAUAUCUGCCUGAUUCGCUAAUAUGCACCUCCUUUCUCUUGAUACAUAUUUCUCUCGGUCUCACUGUUUUUUUGCAAACGUAACAUGUACGCCCUAUAGACCGAUGAGUUGCGGUUUGAGUUGUGGAGUCGAGGCAACAGGCGCGCCUGGCGUGCAGCAAUCCAAAGUUCGACUCCACUCGAGUACUUUCGAAAUUGUAACAGUGAUCGAGAGUCGGGUGCUAGACUGUAAGUGAGGAAUAACAUUACCUGACAAUGCUGCCUUCCUUCUGAGUUACUUUUUU